rnacentral:misc_RNA from 1 species
GUUGGUGAACCAGCGGAGGGAUCAUUACAAGAAGCCGAAAGGCUACUUCAAACCAUCGCGAACUCGUCCAAGUUGCUUCGGCGGCGCGGCUCCCCUAACCGGGCGCCGCAGCCCCGCCUCCUCGGAGGCGUGGCACCCGCCGGAGGUACUAAACCCUUCUGUAUUAUAGCGGCAUCUCUGAGUAAAACAAACAAGUUAAAACUUUCAACAACGGAUCUCUUGGCUCUG